UGCCAGCCGCCGCGGUAACACGGACCGUACGAACGUUAUUCGGAAUCACUGGGCUUAAAGAGUGCGUAGGCGGCUUGGAAAGUUGGGUGUGAAAUCCCUCGGCUCAACCGAGGAAUUGCGCUCAAAACUGCCAAGCUUGAGGGAGAUAGAGGUGAGCGGAACUAAUGGUGGAGCGGUGAAAUGCGUUGAUAUCAUUAGGAACACCGGUGGCGAAAGCGGCUCACUGGGUCUCUUCUGACGCUGAGGCACGAAGGCUAGGGGAGCGAACGGGAUUAGAUA
rnacentral:rRNA from 1 species